GCUCAAUGGACCUCCUCUUGAUCUUUCUCCUCUGGAAAGGCCAUGCAGCAGAGUAUAGGUAUUCAGACGUUCCUGGGUACUGGACAGACCAUCUUUUCCAGAAUACAUUGACAUGGGAUCCGGCGGCACAUGCAAUAUAAGAUCUGCAGUUUUCCUGCAUUCAAGUACAAAUAUGUGACAACCACAACAUUGUGAGUGUUAAAAUGACAAAGACCUUCUCAUAUCGAAGACAAAAUGUCGUUCCGGCCCUUUCUGUGAAGGACUUCAAUGAAAGAUGGCCAACCCUGUUUGAACCCACUCAGGUACAAAAUACAGCCGAAGGAAAAUAGUCAAUAUUAAGGAAGAGUUCAGAAGAAUUACAACUGUUUCUCUUGAGUCCACCUUUAUGCAGAAGCUGGACGAAUAUACACCAACAUGUUUUGACUUGUUUAAGUCAAAAGGAGGUGCUAUAAAGGCGGUUUGUAACAGUAUAGACUUUACGUCCGUCCCCUCGCCCCGACCUGGGCGCCUACCAGGGACUCUCUGCACACGUCAACAGUCACCCUCGAAACAUCGUUACCCAUCGCUCCACAAAAGCCUGUCAAAAUAAUAUGUGCAUAUGGAGUCAGGUUUAAGGGAGAAUUUGGCAUAUAUUUUGUAACAAAUGUGCAAUGUAUGUUUUGAAACCCCAUGUUUUGAUUAAUCUAAAACAGUUUGAAUGAGGUUGUAUUUGAGCUAAGGUUCAUAUUGUGCUUUGUGUAAAGUCUAUUUAGACAAAUCGUUAAUUUACGUUUCUGUUAAAAUAUUGCUUUGUUGUUAAGGGGCACACAGACCACCAGAAAAUCUUUGCCAAUCUGUACACGAUGUGCGGUCAAAGUGCUAAUCCCAAACUAUCACAUACAACUUUAUGCAGUUGUGAAGAUCUAUAAUUAUUUGUAGUUAGGUGCAAGCUAUCUGGAUGUAACUUUACCUAAGGAGGCAAGGUGUAGUUAUACCCAGAAUGCUUACAGAUGACAAAAUAUGAAUGCCUAAGGAGUAAGGUUUAAAGGGCAAUUUGAGAUUGAAGUUUGAAGAAAUGAUAAAAUUAUAACAUUUAUUUUAUUAAAAUAAAGAUGUGGAAGUUUGAA